AUAAUAUUUAUUUGAUGCAAAAAGAAUUCAUACUUGUUAAAACCAUCUCUUAAAUACAAAGAAAGAAGUAUGGUUGAAAUUGUCAAGUUUGUUUAUAUUAUGAUUAUCUUCAUUUCUUUAUUGCUGGUGCCAUCCAACUGUGCAAGACUUGCAAGAUGUGUAAAUGAUAAUGGUUGCUCUUAUCAGCAUUAUAUGUGCCCGCCACCAAAGGUAAUGAGGUGUCUCAAGAGACGAUGCACGUGUGGUAGUGUGACCGCUCUUCUUAGUAGAUGAUAUUUCUUAGUAGAAGAUAUGUCUGUGUUUCAAAAAACCAAGGAUAAUGUGUGAUUAAUAUAUAUUCCAUUUCAAAAUAAAUUUUGCAUAACUAAGUUUAAUAUUAUUAUGCAAGGUUAUAUUUAAUCAUAAGAUUUACAUGUGAUUUAAAAUAAACUAGAAUAUGAUAUGUGAGAUUCA